GAUGAACGCUGGCGGCGUGCUUAAUACAUGCAAGUCGAACGGAGACAGUAGCAAUAUUGUCUUAGUGGCGAACGGGUGAGUAACGCGUUGGUGACCUGCCCCGAAGAGGGGGAUAACAGUCCGAAAGGAUUGCUAAUACCCCAUGUGGUCAUUAGGAUUAGAUGCCUUUUGACUAAACGGAUUUAUUCGCUUUGGGAGGGCCUGCGUCCCAUCAGCUCGUUGGUAGGGUAAUGGCCUACCAAGGCUGUGACAGGUAGGGGACCUGAGAGGGUGACCCCCCACAAUGGAACUGAAACACGGUCCAUACACCUACGGGAGGCAG
rnacentral:rRNA from 1 species